AUAUGUAGAUCUUGAUGAUAUUUAUAAUCAAAUACAUGAUUCUUACCACACAUUCUAGAAGUAGUAGGAUAAUAACUGAUAGAUUCUACUGUACAUGCCAAUACACCUGCUAACAUUCCAAGAACACCCGAUAGACUGACCGAUGACCGACAGGCAAAGUAUCGGUGACUGUUAAAAUCGUACAGAUAAUCCACAUUACAACAAUCGUCAGUAGUACCUACGAAUAAUAUCGUCAUUGGUAUAAGAAGAUCCACAGAUAAUUGCCGAUGAAGAUGAUAAUUAUAGAUGGAAAUUUAUGAUCUUUCAAAAACUAUCGAUAUGCAUGAAAGAACACGAGUAACAUCGUAAAAUUAAUCAUUAAAGCGUACAACGACGUAUACUCUCAUAUUUUCGUUUGACUCAUAAAAAUGUAUAACGUUGAAAUAUACUUACGGGAAAUAAUUUAAACAA